rnacentral:rRNA from 1 species
AGCGAACGCUGGCGGCAGGCCUAACUCAUGCAAGUCGAACGAACUCUUCGGAGUUAGUGGCGGACGGGUGAGUAACACGUGGGAACGUGCCUUUUGGUUCGGAAUAACUCAGGGAAAUUUGUGCUAAUACCGAAUGUGCCCUUCGGGGGAAAGAUUUAUCGCCAUUAGAGCGGCCCGCGUCUGAUUACCUAGUUGGUGAGGUAACGGCUCACCAAGGCGACGAUCAGUAGCUGGUCUGAGAGGAUGCCCAGCCACACUGGGACUGAGGCACGGCCCAGACUCCAACGGGAGGCAGCAGUGGGGAAUCUUGCGCAAUGGGCGAAAGCCUGAAGCAGCCAUGCCGCGUGAAUGAUGAAGGUCUUAGGAUUGUAAAAUUCUUUCGCCGGGGACGAUAAUGACGGUACCCGGAGAAGAAGCCCCGGCUAACUUCGUG